rnacentral:rRNA from 1 species
UACGUAGGGUGCAAGCGUUGUCCGGAAUUAUUGGGCGUAAAGGGCGCGUAGGCGGCCACGACAAGUCACUUGUGAAAUCUCCGGGCUUAACUCGGAACGGUCAAGUGAUACUGUCGGGCUAGAGUGCAGAAGGGGCAACUGGAAUUCUCGGUGUAGCGGUGAAAUGCGUAGAUAUCGAGAGGAACACCUGCGGCGAAGGCGGGUUGCUGGGCUGACACUGACGCUGAGGCGCGAAAGCCAGGGGAGCGAACGGG